AGAUGGAAGGCAUGAAUCUACCUGUCGCCCCCCUCCUAAGCGGCAGGUCGCAGGUUCGAAUCCUGCAGAGGGCGCCA
rnacentral:tRNA from 1 species